CUAGAACAGGAGGAGGAGUUGGAAGAGGGAAACCUAUGAUGCUUUCUCUUCCUUUUCUCUUCAAACAGCACUGCUUUUGGUCACUGAAAAAGGGGCUUCAUUGGCUCGCCCAACAACAAGACAGCGUUAGGAGCGUUGGUUGGAGAUCUCCCUGACGGCGCUGUUAGUCUGAAGGAUCGAGAUUGCCUGGACCGGGAGGGGCACGCAUUGCAGUUUUUAUAAGCGGCGCGCGCGCUCCUUCAGUCCUUAGUUGAAGAUAGUGAGAAGCAACCCUAGCGUACAUUUUGCUGGUAGCCGUCCGAGAAUUUCUUUUCUAUACAACUAUUACAAAUUCAGAAACACUAAUCUGGAUAUCAUAUACCACGUUGUGAUUCACAUAGGUGCAAAGCAGACUGGUGUGUGAGAAGAACACAUAGAAGUUGUAGCUCCCUUCCCCUGAAAGGAACUUUACUAAACUGCAACGGGGUGGGGGGGGAGGGUACACAUAUUGACAAAAAAUACUAUAGACAGCCACGAAGGCAAAAGCGUUAAAAUUCUCUAAGCUCUUGAACGCCAAUGUUUCGCACGCGACCUGCCCGGGAGGAGGAGCUGAAGAAAUAGAUGUGAGAGGCCACGCCUUUUGUGCGAAUAUGUGGAAAUGCGCAAGCGCA
rnacentral:lncRNA from 1 species